rnacentral:rRNA from 1 species
UACGGAGGGUGCGAGCGUUGUCCGGAAUCACUGGGCGUAAAGGGCGCGUAGGCGGCCGGCCAAGCGUGCGGUGAAAGUCCGGGGCUCAACCCCGGAUCUGCCGUGCGGACUGGUUUGCUAGAGCACUGUAGAGGCGAGUGGAAUUCCGGGUGUAGCGGUGGAAUGCGUAGAGAUCCGGAAGAACACCGGUGGCGAAGGCGGCUCGCUGGGCAGUGGCUGACGCUGAGGCGCGACAGCGUGGGGAGCAAACAGG